AGCACUAUUUUUAAACCUGUUGGUGGAAUGUCCUCACCACCACGGGUUACGCUGUAGUGCAAAAUCAUCUCCUGAAUCUUGAGAGCACAGCUGACCUUGCUCUGUACAGCUGCUGCCCCUCUGAAGUUCAGGAACAGAG
ensembl:snoRNA